UACGUAGGUGGCAAGCGUUAUCCGGAAUUAGUGGGCGUAAAGCGCGCGUAGGCGGUUUUUUAAGUCUGAUGUGAAAGCCCACGGCUCAACCGUGGAGGGUCAUUGGAAACUGGAAAACUUGAGUGCAGAAGAGGAAAGUGGAAUUCCAUGUGUAGCGGUGAAAUGCGCAGAGAUAUGGAGGAACACCAGUGGCGAAGGCGACUUUCUGGUCUGUAACUGACGCUNGAUGUGCGAAAGCGUGGGGAUCAAACAGGAUUAGA
rnacentral:rRNA from 1 species